GGCGGGGUAACGGCCCACCAAGGCAACGAUCAGUAGGGGUUCUGAGAGGAAGGUCCCCCACAUUGGAACUGAGACACGGUCCAAACUCCUACGGGAGGCAGCAGUGAGGAAUAUUGGUCAAUGGGCGAGAGCCUGAACCAGCCAAGUAGCGUGCAGGAAGACGGCCCUAUGGGUUGUAAACUGCUUUUAUAAGGGAAUAAAGUGAGUCUCGUGAGACUUUUUGCAUGUACCUUAUGAAUAAGGACCGGCUAAUUCCGUGCCGGCAGCCGCGGUAAUACGGAAGGUCCGGGCGUUAUCCGGAUUUAUUGGGUUUAAAGGGAGCGUAGGCCGGAGAUUAAGCGUGUUGUGAAAUGUAGACGCUCAACGUCUGCACUGCAGCGCGAACUGGUUUCCUUGAGUACGCACAAAGUGGGCGGAAUUCGUGGUGUAGCGGUGAAAUGCUUAGAUAUCACGAAGAACUCCGAUUGCGAAGGCAGCUCACUGGAGCGCAACUGACGCUGAAGCUCGAAAGUGCGGGUAUCGAACAGGAUUAGAUACCCUGGUAGUCCGCACGGUAAACGAUGGAUGCCCGCUGUUGGUCUGAACAGGUCAGCGGCCAAGCGAAAGCAUUAAGCAUCCCACCUGGGGAGUACGCCGGCAACGGUGAAACUCAAAGGAAUUGACGGGGGCCCGCACAAGCGGAGGAACAUGUGGUUUAAUUCGAUGAUACGCGAGGAACCUUACCCGGGCUUGAAUUGCAGAGGAAGGAUUUGGAGACAAUGACGCCCUUCGGGGUCUCUGUGAAGGUGCUGCAUGGUUGUCGUCAGCUCGUGCCGUGAGGUGCCGGCUUAAGUGCCACAACGAGCGCAACCCCUCUCCUUAGUUGCCAUCAGGUUAAGCUGGGCACUCUGGGGACACUGCCACCGUAAGGUGUGAGGAAGGUGGGGAUGACGUCAAAUCAGCACGGCCCUUACGUCCGGGGCUACACACGUGUUACAAUGGCAGGUACAGAGAGACGGUUGUACGUAAGUACGAUCAAAUCCUUAAAGCCUGUCUCAGUUCGGACUGGGGUCUGCAACCCGACCCCACGAAGCUGGAUUCGCUAGUAAUCGCGCAUCAGCCAUGGCGCGGUGAAUACGUUCCCGGGCCUUGUACACACCGCCCGUCAAGCCAUGAAAGCCGGGGGCGCCUAAAGUCCGUGACCGUAAGGAGCGGCCUAGGGCGAAACUGGUAAUUGGGGCUAAGUCGUAACAAGGUA
rnacentral:rRNA from 1 species